rnacentral:rRNA from 1 species
UACGGAGGGUGCAAGCGUUGCUCGGAAUUAUUGGGCGUAAAGGGUAAGUAGGUGGUCUUAUUUGUCUCGGGUGAAAGCCUUGGGCUUAACUCAAGAAGUGCCCUAGAAACGGUAAGACUAGAGUCCUGGAGAGGUGAGUGGAAUUCCCGGUGUAGCGGUGAAAUGCGUAGAGAUCGGGAGGAACACCAGAGGCGAAGGCGGCUCACUGGACAGGUACUGACACUCAACUACGAAAGCGUGGGGAGCAAACAG